GACGAACGCUGGCGGCGUGCCUAAUACAUGCAAGUCGAACGCUUUUUCUUUCACCGAGACUUGUCUCACCGAAAGAAAAAGAGUGGCGAACGGGUGAGUAACACGUGGGUAACCUGCCCUCGAGAAGGGGAUAACACUUGGAAACAGGUGCUAAUACCGUAUAACAAUAACUGCCGCAUGGCAGGUAUUUGAAAGGCGCUUUUGCGUCACUCGAGGAUGGACCCGCGGUGCAUUAGCUAGUUGGUGAGGUAACGGCUCACCAAGGCGACGAUGCAUAGCCGACCUGAGAGGGUGAUCGGCCACACUGGGACUGAGACACGGCCCAGACUCCUACGGGAGGCAGCAGUAGGGAAUCUUCGGCAAUGGACGAAAGUCUGACCGAGCAACGCCGCGUGAGUGAAGAAGGUUUUCGGAUCGUAAAACUCUGUUGUUAGAGAAGAACAAGGAUGAGAGUAGAACGUUCAUCCCUUGACGGUAUCUAACCAGAAAGCCACGGCUAACUACGUGCCAGCAGCCGCGGUAAUACGUAGGUGGCAAGCGUUGUCCGGAUUUAUUGGGCGUAAAGCGAGCGCAGGCGGUUCUUUAAGUCUGAUGUGAAAGCCCCCGGCUCAACCGGGGAGGGUCAUUGGAAACUGGAGAACUUGAGUGCAGAAGAGGAGAGUGGAAUUCCAUGUGUAGCGGUGAAAUGCGUAGAUAUAUGGAGGAACACCAGUGGCGAAGGCGGCUCUCUGGUCUGUAACUGACGCUGAGGCUCGAAAGCGUGGGGAGCAAACAGG
rnacentral:rRNA from 1 species